AGCCAUGUAUUGAGCACAAAGCGAACUAUUCUUUUGCCUUUUACUAAAGAAUACCGUGUGCUCGUUACAUCAAAUGGCAUACAUUUAUUUUUUUGAGAGCCUCUUCUAUUAUUGAAGAGC
rnacentral:snRNA from 1 species